rnacentral:rRNA from 1 species
UACGUAUGGUGCAAGCGUUAUCCGGAUUUACUGGGUGUAAAGGGAGCGUAGACGGCUGUGUAAGUCUGAAGUGAAAGCCCGGGGCUCAACCCCGGGACUGCUUUGGAAACUAUGCAGCUAGAGUGUCGGAGAGGUAAGUGGAAUUCCCAGUGUAGCGGUGAAAUGCGUAGAUAUUGGGAGGAACACCAGUGGCGAAGGCGGCUUACUGGACGAUGACUGACGUUGAGGCUCGAAAGCGUGGGGAGCAAACAGGAUUAGAUACCCUUGUAGGCUGACUGACU